AUUCUAGAUUCCACUUCACAGCAUUCAAGGUUUUGGUACUUUCAGGAUCUAUUUCUCACAUCUUUUCCAGGCACAUAGAUUUUCAUGUGUGGACAGAAGGUGAGAAGUUGACAGCAUAACUUUGCCACAGGUCUUUGAUAUCUACAUAGUCCUUUGGUUUCAUCAUUUUGCUUUCAUCAGGAAGGUAUUCAAAAUGCUAUCUGAGCAAUGUGUAUUUAUUUGCUGAAAGCAUCUUGUCAUAUGAUGUCAGUUCAUGAGUGAUCAUCUCAGCCAACACUGGCAAAAUAAAAUGAAAUCUUUCUUGCACCAAGUUUAAUAAUUUCCAUCAUGGAUUUUGGAUGAAGUAGAAUGCUGAGGCUGUGGAAAUCUUCUCGGCAGUAUCACA